GAUGAACGCUGGCGGUGUGCCUUAGGCAUGCAAGUCGAACGAAUCACCUUCGGGUGGUUAGUGGCGGACGGGUGAGUAACGCGUGGGAAUCUACCCUUUAGUGGAGAAUAACUCCGAGAAAUCGGAGCUAAUACUGCAUAAUCUCUUAGGAGGAAAGAGCAUAACUGCUCGCUGAAGGAGGGGCCUGCGUCUUAUCAGCUUGUUGGUGGGGUAACGGCUCACCAAGGCGACGAUGGGUAGCUGGUCUGAGAGGAUGAUCAGCCACACUGGAACUGAGACACCGGUCCAGACUCCGUACGGGAGGCAGCAGGUCGGGUAAUUUUUGCGCAAGUGGGACGAAACGCCUGACGCAGCGACACCGCGUGGGGGAAGAAGGCUCUCGGGUUGUAAACCCCUUUCGUGAGGGAAAAAGUGCCGAUUCGUCGGCAUGAUGGUACCUCAGGAAGAAGCCACGGCUAACUCUGUG
rnacentral:rRNA from 1 species